CUCUCUCUAUCUCAAUAAAUACAUAAAAAUCUUUAAAAAAUAAAAUAAAAUUUUUUCAAUGAAUCAUUUCUGUCAGCAGAAAUCACAAGUCUUGAUAUUGCAUAUUGUGCUAUAUUUUUAUUUGCUUUAUUUUAACCUGUUUUUCUUUGGUCUUUCAAUAAAUCAAAUAAAUAUAUAUUUUUUUAGAUUCUGAAGGAAAAUGUGGGCCUCCUCCACGUAUUGACAAUGGAGAUAUUACCUCAUUCACGUCAUUAUCAUAUGCUCCAGGAUCAUCAGUAGAGUACAUAUGCCAGUCCUUCUAUGUACUUCAGGGACACAGGACCAUAACAUGCAGAAAUGGACAGUGGUCACCACCACCAAAAUGCUUAGAGGCCUGUACAGUAUCAGAAGACAUCUUGAGAACACAUAAUAUAAGAUUACAAUGGUCUCAUGAGACAAAAAUUUAUACUAGAACAGGGGAUGUUAUUGAAUUUGAAUGUCUCCGUGGAUAUGGUAGAAAGACACCAGAUCAUACAUUCCGAGCCACCUGUCAGGAUGGGAAAGUGACAUCCUGAAUGUGGAUAAAACAGUGGUUAAGAUGCAGUCUUAAAAUUAAAAUAUGUACAUUCACUCAGAAUUUUUCAUCAUCAAUCAAUUCUCAGUUUAUUUUGUCAAGUAUUGUGUAACUCAUUUAUAUUCAUAAAUCAGAAUUUAUAUUAAAUAUUAUGUGGAUGAUGUAAUGAUAAUCAGAGAGAUGAAUAAAUCACUUCUUAAAAU